UGAGGCAGCUACUUUGUACUUGAUGGGGUUGGGGUGGGGCGUGGAACAGAGGUCCCUACACCUUCACAGCAGACUGCUUGCUGACUCCCUUCCAAAGAUGUAGUCCUCUUCCAGGAGAGAGGACGCUAACUUUAGCACAGACACAGGCAAAGGCUGUCCCGGCCAGGCCUUGCCGCCAUGGAGAGAGUUUCCUCCUCUUCAGUUUCCCAGAGGAGAUCGCACCAAUCAGAGUCGAGGAACAUUCUAAACAGCAUCUGACCAGAACUCCCCAAGGUCAUCAAGGGUAAAGAAAGGCUGAGGAAGUUCUGCAGCCGAAAGGAGCCCAGGAGCCAUGAUGGAUAUAGAACUCUUGGCUACCUCUCCAGCACCAUGCCUGCCUGCAUGCUGCCAUGCUUCCCUUCAUGUCGAUAGUGGACUAACCUUUUAACGGCUCAGUCUCCUCACCCCUGCCUCCCUCUGCUGAUAUCUGUUCAUCUGCCUAUGGGAGGUCAAGUCAAUCAAGCUGCCGAGCACUCUCUGAGCUGUGCCUGGUGGGCAUUUUGAGGAGUGACACUUCCAGGUGUUGCUUCCUGGCAUCGGACUCCACGUGCUUUCACAGAGCAUGGCUACCAGAGCUUGAGCAAGGCCUCUGUGCAAGAUGAAGCCUUCUACCUACAUCACCUGGUUUGUCCUGUGCCACACUUCCCUGCUAAAGUGAAAGCUCAUGCCCAGCCCACCUUACAGGCACAGAAUGACUAGACCUUUGUCCUGCUGGCACUUGGAUAUUGAACUCCAGUGAGCUAAUGUCACUGUCCUUCAAGCCCAGACAGGUGCUGCUCUCUCCUUCUAUGGACUAGGAAAUUCACGCCUUUUAAAAUCAAAGCAAAAGAAAAAAAGACAGCCAUCUCUCCAGGUGGGCCCUGUUGCAGAGCACAUGAGGGAUCUGAGAGGAACAGGCUAACCUGGGACUUUUAAGGCUGAAGGUCUUAGAAUGGUAAGUCUAAGGUGGGGAAGCUCAGGAUGGGAGAGGGAGGGCCACCAGGCCUGGGUACCCAGGGCUGACAUUUGCUGGGUUAUCUAAUCUGGUGUUCUUCCUGCCUCACUCACCAUGAUCUUCAGAACUCUGCACCCCCCCCAAGUGCCACACAAAGGGGACACCCCUAUCCAGCAGCCAGGGACAGAGGGAUUGUGUUGACUGUGAUGACCUUGAAGGAUGAACGGAUAGAAGAGAGGAGAAACCACAGGUCCAGAGGCUUAGGUGCAGAGGAGAAUCCUGGAGGUAGAAACCUAGGAAGAAAUAAAGGAAAAAUACAAACAGAGAAAGGGUAGGAGGAUGUGAAGAAGUGGUGACCCCUCGCUUGCUGUGGUUGCCAGGCUCCAAGAUUGGCCCUGGUGAUAGAUACAACAUCUUAUAUAUCAGCCUGGCUGGGUCAAAGUACCCAGAUACUUCAGUAAAUACAGUUCCAGAUGUUUUUUGUGGGAAUGGUUCUGGUCCGUUUUUGGCAGGGGAAGGAUGAGGUUAACAUGUACAUCGGUGAAUGUUGAGUAAAGCAGGUUACCUUUCAUUGUGUGUGCUCACGGGCCGCUAAUCAGUGGAAGACCUUAGUAGGAAAAGGUGGACCUCCUCUGAGCAAGGAGAAAAGAUUGGGGCAGAUCACUGGACUGCCUUUCCUGCAAAGUUUGGUGAUAGCUCUUCUCCCUCCUCUUUUCUUUCUCUCAUUCUAUCUCUCUUUCCUUCCUUCUCUCCCUCUCUCCAUCACUCUUUCCUUUCUUCCCUCCUUCUUUCUCUCUCCCUUCCCAGGCUCCCUCUUUCACACUCCCCUUACUUCUCCUUUGUCUUGCUUUCUGAUGUGUGCCCCAUCAGUCUGGGCAGGAUAGGAUAGGUUUUGUCCCCACUGAUUCUAUCUCUCUGAAGAACCUUGACUGAUAAGCCUUCAGUCAUCCCUCCAUGGGUUCCCAUGUCACUGUUCAUGUCAAAGGGUAUAUAUGGCUUUUCAGAAAUUCAAAGCCUGAUUAGGCUACAGAGUGAGUCCAAUGCCAUCCUGGGCAAUUUAUGACACCCUGUCUCAAAAUAACAUGCAAUAAGGAGAGCUGUGGCUAUAACUCAGUCUUGGAGCACUUGCCUGGAAUGCAUGAAGCCCUAGGCUCAAUACCUAGUAGCAAUGUACUGUUCCCUCUCCUCUGGCAUAUGUGCUAGUCCUACAAUCGCUUUGGCCAGUGGCAUAUGGCAGAUAUGGCAUCCUG